rnacentral:rRNA from 1 species
GUAGGGAAUAUUGCGCAAUGGGGGAAACCCUGACGCAGCGACGCCGCGUGAGUGAUGAAGGCCUUCGGGUCGUAAAGCUCUGUUGCAGGGGAAUAAAAAAAUGAAGGUACCCUGUGAGGAAGGAUCGGCUAACUUCGUGCCAGCAGCCGCGGUAAGACGAGUGAUCCUAGCGUUGCUCGGAAUCAUUGGGCGUAAAGAGGGCGUAGGUGGCUUGGUAAGUCAGGUGUGAAAGCCCAGGGCUCAACCCUGGAAGUGCAUUUGAUACUGCUGAGCUUGAGUGUCGGAGAGGUUACCGGAAUACCUGGUGUAGUGGUGAAAUACGUAGAUAUCAGGUGGAACACCGGAGGCGAAGGCGGGUAACUGGACGAACACUGACACUGAGGCCCGAAAGCGUGGGGAUCAAACAGGAUUAGAAACCCUAGUAGUCC